GCGCCCGUAGCUCAGCUGGAUAGAGUGUCGCCCUCCGAAGGCGAAGGUCACAGGUUCGACUCCUGUCGGGCGCGCCA
rnacentral:tRNA from 1 species